rnacentral:rRNA from 1 species
ACGGGGGGUGCAAGCGUUGUUCGGAAUUAUUGGGCGUAAAGAGCGUGUAGGCGGCUGAAUAAGUCAGAUGUGAAAUCCCUGGGCUUAACUCAGGAAGUGCAUUUGAAACUAUUCAGCUCGAGUAGGGGAGAGGAAAGUGGAAUUCCUGGUGUAGAGGUGAAAUUCGUAGAUAUCAGGAGGAAAAAAGGUGGCGAAGGAGAAUUUAUGGCCCUAUACUGACGCUGAGACGAGAGAGAGUGGGUAGCAAACAG